GAGGUCGCAGAAGGACUGCAAGCUUGCGGAGCCGGCUCGAUUCGCACCCGCCCGGCCUCCUAGGGAGCCAGCCUGGCUUAGGCUGCAGCUUGGUUUAUUUUGGUUGUCUUUCCUUUUUCAUCUCGUUUGUCUUAAAACCCCCUCAGGGUUUCUUCGCGAUUUCCAGCCAUGGAGAUAGCGCAGCCCAGAGACCUGGAGCGGUACUUAAGCCUGGCCAAGAGGAGGCACGGGGAGCUGUGCCGGCAGAAACGGAUCUUCAACGCCAGGAACAGGAUCAUCGGGGGAGACACAGACGCCUGGGAUGCUCAGGUUCAUGACCAGAAGAUAAAAGAAGCAACCGAAAAAGCUAGACAUGAAACUUUUGCUGCUGAAAUGAGGCAAAAUGACAAAAUCACAUGCAUAUUAGAAGGCCAAGAAAGGAGAGAUAGGAAAAGCCUCUGUAAAGCCAUCAAUGACUUCCAGCAGACCUUCCAGAAGCCAGAAACUCGCCGUGAAUUUGACCUAUCUGACCCCCUAGCCCUUAGGAAAGAUCUCCCAGCCAGGCAGUCAGAUAACGAUAUUCGGAAUACAGUAUCGGGAAUGCAGAAAUUCAUGGGAGAGGAUUUAAACUUCCACGAGAGGAAGAAAUUCCAGGAGGAACAAAACCGAGAAUGGUCCUUACAACAGCAGCGGGAACGGGAGAGUGCCCGUGCCCACCAAAGAUGUGCAGAGGACCUCUACUUCAAGACAAGGCUGCAGUUUGAUGAAACGGCCAAGCAUUUACAGAAUCUGGAAAGUGCCACCAGAAAGGCGGUUUGUGCAGCUGUGAAAGAAUUCAACAGGAACCAGGCCACCGAGUCAGUGGAAAGGAAGACUCGGGAGAAAAAACAAGAACAAGAAGACGACUUGGCCGAGAUCUCCAACCUGCUGCGUGGGGACCUGCUCUCUGAGAACCCGCAGCAGGCAGCCAGCUCCUUCGGGCCCCACCGCGUGGUCCCCGACCGCUGGAAGGGCAUGACCCGGGAGCAGCUGGAGCAGAUCCGUCUGGUUCAGAAGCAGCAAAUCCAGGAGAAGCUGCGGCUUCGGGAAGAAGAGUGGCAGCGAGACAGGGACUGGGACCGGCAGAGGGUGCAGAGGGCUCGCUCCACUCUGCUCGUAGAGCGGCAGCAGAAACGCCAGCAGCGGGACCUACGCCGGGCACUGGACUGCGCCAACCUCAGCCUGGCCAAGGAGCAGCACUCGCAGUGUCUGUUCCCUGACGGGUCCAUUGCUGGCUGGUCACUUCCGCCGGGGGCCCCAGAGGAGCAGUAGAGAUGAUCCCACAGAAUGGAAUGAACAGAUGUCUUUACAGCCACGUCCACAGAGAUUUAAUUCUAAGACCUCUGCAGACUAUGCCGGUGCCAGUGCCCAGUGUAACCGCAGGGCGAUGAUAAAACACAUCCCUCCCUCACCCUUGAGCUCCUCGGGCUGGAAUGUAUUCCGUAUCCCGGGGCUAACACACGGGAAAAAAUAUAUGGAAGAAGUCUGUACAAAUCAACCCACUGAAGGUUAUUUCACGCAAUUUAAUACAGGAAGUCGAUAGUGAAAAAGACACGGUCCUUGUCUUCUGAAUUGUUCAGGCAUAAAACGCAGCAGCCUUUUGAAGAGUCGCAUUAAUUACAAAGAAAUACACCCCGUGUUUCAGGAGUGA